CACAACAGUAACUCACACUUUAUAAAUUUUGCUCAUACAGUAUUGCUGCAGUAUACAGAGGUCAUAGUAAGAUAUAUUACUGGUCAUGUUCGUCGAUUCAAAGAGAAUAAUGAUUGUUGUGCAAAAUAUUAGAUGGGAUACAGUUACCUGCUUUGGGGUUAGCAGGAAGUGAAAACCAGAAACCAUUCCAUCAUCUUACAGUGACCUGUGCUAUAUAUUAACCCAUUGAGCUGCAAUGCGCCCCAGGACGCCCUACUUAUUUUUUUACUUGUC